UCUUCGUCAACUAUUUUAUAUUGAUCGCCGCCAUUACAGAAAAGAUGCACAUGCAAUAUAGUGUUAUUUCUGGUGUGAUUUGUGGUCAUAAGAAUUGCUUUUCGAAUGGAUUUGGAUAGUGUAUUGUUUGCUAAAAGCAAUGAGGAACAUCUAUACCCACGAUGGAAAAUUUUCACAAAAGGCUAUAUUUGAGAUCUGUAAUUUCAAGUGGAAUUUUGACAACAAUAAUGUCUGAUGUCGAGCUUGUCCAUGACUGUGAAAAUGGGACUAGUUUGGGCUAGCCUGCUUCAGAAUCGCUAAGCCGAAGAUGGGACACCACACUAACUAGCUCAAAAAGGACAUCAAUAUUACCAUGGUUUAUCUAGAAGUCCAAAUCUCGUUCGGCGUUUAAUGUUUUAUCACAAAACACCGAAUCUUCAGGCGCC